GCCUUUGUGGUCGAAAGGAUAAGAUGUCUGCCCAGUAAGCAGGAAGAUCCUAGGUUCGAUUCCUGGCUGAGGCA